CGCCUCUAGCACCAUCAGUAUUAGAGGUACUGCCUGCCCAGUGACAACAGUUUAACGGCCGCGGUAUAAUGACCGUGCAAAGGUAGCGUAAUCACUUGUCUUUUAAAUAGGGACCUGUAUGAAUGGCAAAACGAGGGUCCAACUGUCUCUUUAAACCGAUCUGCGAAAUUGAUCUCCUCGUGCAGAAGCGAGAUGUAAUAAAUAAGACGAGAAGACCCUACGGAGCUUAAGACUCUAAUUUAAUUAUAGUAAUUAACAUAAAACAUAUAAUAUAAUGAAACUCUUUGGUUGGGGCGACCACGGAAUAAACACACCUUCCGAGAAGAAUCUCAUAUAAAAACAAUUAAAAGAGACAAGACACCUACAACAUGAUCCAUUAUUUGAUCAACGAACCAAGUUACCCUAGGGAUAACAGCGCAAUCCUCUCCAAGAGUCCAUAUCGACGAGCGGGUUUACGACCUCGAUGUUGGAUCAGGGUGCCCAAGUGGUGCAGCCGCUACUAAAGGUUUGUUUGUUCAACAAUUAAAAUCCU
rnacentral:rRNA from 1 species